ensembl:lncRNA
GUCUAGGGAUAGGUGUAGGGGCGACGGUAAGUAUCUAGGGAUAGGUGUAGGGGCGAUGGUAAGUGUCUAGGGAUAGGUGUAGGGGCGACGGUAAGUAUCUAGGGAUAGGUGUAGGGGUGACGGUAAGUGUCUAGGGAUAGGUGUAGGGGCGACGGUAAGUAUCUAGGGAUAGGUGUAGGGGCGACGGUAAGUAUCUAGGGAUAGGUGUAGGGGCGACAGUAAGUAUCUAGGGAUAGGUGUAGGGGUGACGGUAUGUAUCUAGGGAUAGGUGUAGGGGCGACGGUAAGUAUCUAGGGAUAGGUGUAGGGGCGACAGUAAGUAUCUAGGGAUAGGUGUAGGGGCGAAGGUAAGUAUCUAGGGAUAGGUGUAGGGGUGACGGUAAGUAUCUAGGGAUAGGUGUAGGGGCGACGGUAAGUAUCUAGGGAUAGGUGUAGGGGCGACGGUAAGUGUUUAGGGAUAGGUGUAGGGGCGACGGUAAGUAUCUAGGGAUAGGUGUAGGGGCGACGGUAAGUGUCUAGGGAUAGGUGUAGGGGCGAAGGUAUGUAUCUAGGGAUAGGUGUAGGGGCGACGGUAAGUAUCUAGGGAUAGGUGUAGGGGCGAAGGUAAGUAUCUAGGGAUAGGUGUAGUGGUGACGGUAAGUGUCUAGUUAUAGAGGCUAGGAGAUGUAGUUGAUCUGGGCUUGUGAUGUCACCACAUGGUAAAAAAUACAAGACAGAAUGCGUUUAAAACCUAUAGGUUACACCGCAAGACUAUUGCCUUCCCUCAAGUGAAAUGUCUACAUGUGUAAUUUUAG